GUAUGAUGUCUUUUACAUUAUAAAUACGUCAAACAAACUAUUUGAUUCUAUUAUAUUCAAAGGAGGAAAAAUAUGGGUGAAACUUUGAAGUUUGUUUAUACUAUGUCCAUCUUUCUUUCACUAUUUCUUGUUGUAACCAGUAUUGUAGGUGAGGAGUGGAACUCGCAUAGUUGGAACUCAGAAUUCUAUUUGAAGAAAAGUUGCAGUUCUGACUUUGAUUGUCCAAGGACUAUGUGCAUAAAACUUUCCCUUGCGAGAUGCUUUAAUGACUUUUGUCACUGCUAUUAAUAACGUUUUGAUUUCAAUGAUAGGACGAGAAGAAGAACACGUGACAAAUUAAUUAGUUACAAAACUUGUAUUAUAAGUUGUCCAACACAAUAAAAUAAUGUAAAAUUUAUUAAAUUGAGAUUUAUAAAAUAAAAUAUUAUAAUAUAUAUGAACGUAGUUUAAAUA